CCUACGGGUGGCUGCAGUGGGGAAUAUUGGACAAUGGGCGAAAGCCUGAUCCAGCCAUGCCGCGUGUGUGAAGAAGGCCUUCGGGUUGUAAAGCACUUUCAGUGGGGAAGAAAGCCUUGGGGCUAAUACCCUCGAGGAAGGACAUCACCCACAGAAGAAGCACCGGCUAACUCCGUGCCAGCAGCCGCGGUAAUACGGAGGGUGCGAGCGUUAAUCGGAAUUACUGGGCGUAAAGCGCGCGUAGGCGGUCUGAUAAGCCGGUUGUGAAAGCCCCGGGCUCAACCUGGGAACGGCAUCCGGAACUGUCAGGCUAGAGUGCAGGAGAGGAAGGUAGAAUUCCCGGUGGAGCGGUGAAAUGCGUAGAGAUCGGGAGGAAUACCAGUGGCGAGGGCGGCCUUCUGGACUGACACUGACGCUGAGGUGCGAAAGCGUGGGUAGCAAACAGGAUUAGAUACCCGUGUAGUC
rnacentral:rRNA from 1 species